AAGACUGUACUUUCAGGAAUCAUUUCUUUAGUUCUUGACUUGAGAAAUAUCUUUCUAAAGAGUUUGGUCACGCUGCCCAUGAUGAAGAGUUCAGAUGUUUCCUUCAGAGCAGAAAACUGAUGGGAAGACUUUGUUUUUUUCUCCACUGUUGAUUAUUGUUCAGAGUUUCUAAAUAAGACUCUGAAGGAGGAAACAUGAUCUGAGUGGA